GACGAACGCUGGCGGCGUGCUUAACACAUGCAAGUCGAACGGAAAGGCCCUUCUGUGGUGAUGUGCUCGAGUGGCGAACGUGUGAGUUACACGACCUUAACCUGCCCUUGACUUUGGUAUAACUUCAGGAAGCUAGGGCUAAUACCGGAUAGCAUCUCACACUGCAUGGUGUGGGUUGGAUUUUCGCUGCGGGUGGGGAUUGGCGCGCGGCUUCUCGUCUUGUUGGUGGGGGAGUGGCAUACCAAGGAUUGGGCGGGUAGCCGGCCUGAGGGGGUGACCGGCCACCAUGGGACUGGGAUACGGCCCAGGAUCCUACGGGGGGCAACGGGGGGGAAUAAUGCAGAAUGGGGGGGAGCCUGAUGGAGCCGCGCCGCGGGCGGGAUGACGGCCUUCGGGGUGUAAACCGUUUUCGCCUGUGACGGAGGCGGAGUGACGGUAAUCGGUAAAGAAGCACCGGCUAACUACGUG
rnacentral:rRNA from 1 species